UACGUAGGUGGCAAGCGUUAUCCGGAUUUACUGGGUGUAAAGGGCGUGUAGGCGGGAGUGCAAGUCAGAUGUGAAAAUUAUGGGCUCAACCCAUAACCUGCAUUUGAAACUGUACUUCUUGAGUGAUGGAGAGGCAGGCGGAAUUCCGUGUGUAGCGGUGAAAUGCGUAGAUAUACGGAGGAACACCAGUGGCGAAGGCGGCCUGCUGGACAUUAACUGACGCUGAGGCGCGAAAGCGUGGGGCGCAACCCGG
rnacentral:rRNA from 1 species